rnacentral:antisense_RNA from 1 species
AUUCACUUAGCUGCUUUGAUAAAUUCUGCUGCCAUCCUGGGAGCUGCACCACGGAGGGGCCCACAUGGCAAGGAACUGAGGGCUACCUUUACUGUAGCCUGUGAGAGACCAUGGGCCAAGGGAUCCAGGACAUCUUCUACAGUAGUGGUAAUCCUCCAUAUUUCAGCUGACACCUCUAUGUGAGCUGUGGUCAUCUUAGUGUCGAGAGAGUCCCCUCUGCCCACAUGAAAACCAGUCAGAGACGAACUGUUUUGAAUCAAGUCUCCUGCUCUUGUAGACUUUUAGUUUGACCUUGGAAUGUGCAAGCAGACCUCUGCAUUUAAUCCAAGAUUGAGGCAAGUUUUCUCUCCGCCUAGGUUUAUCUUGUCUGUCUGUGAACAAAAGAGAGGAUAGCAAAGUACCUUGUUUGGAUUUGUCUAUAAAUGUGACCUUCCUAAACUGGCUAA